rnacentral:rRNA from 1 species
GUCCACGCCGUAAACGAUGGACACUAGGCGUCGGGGGGAGCGACACUCCCGGUGCCGUCGCUAACGCAGUAAGUGUCCCGCCUGGGGAGGUACGGCCGCAAGGCUGAAACUCAAAGGAAUUGACGGGGGCCCGCACAAGCGGUGGAGCAUGUGGUUUAAUUCGAAGCAACGCGAAGAACCUUACCUGGGCUUGACAUGCUGGUGAAAGCCGGUGGAAACAUCGGCCCCUCUUAGGAGCGCCAGCACAGGUGCUGCAUGGCUGUCGU